rnacentral:rRNA from 1 species
AAAUUGAAGAGUUUGAUCAUGGCUCAGAUUGAACGCUGGCGGCAGGCCUAACACAUGCAAGUCGAACGGUAACAGGAAGCAGCUUGCUGCUUUGCUGACGAGUGGCGGACGGGUGAGUAAUGUCUGGGAAGCUGCCUGAUGGAGGGGGAUAACUACUGGAAACGGUGGCUAAUACCGCAUAACGUCGCAAGACCAAAGAGGGGGACCUUCGGGCCUCUUGCCAUCAGAUGUGCCCAGAUGGGAUUAGCUAGUUGGUGAGGUAACGGCUCACCAAGGCGACGAUCCCUAGCUGGUCUGAGAGGAUGACCAGCCACACUGGAACUGAGACACGGUCCAGACUCCUACGGGAGGCAGCAGUGGGGAAUAUUGCACAAUGGGCGCAAGCCUGAUGCAGCCAUGCCGCGUGUAUGAAGAAGGCCUUCGGGUUGUAAAGUACUUUCAGCGGGGAGGAAGGUGUUG